GAAGCAUUAUCCGCACUGGACCAUGUAUAAGUCUCCUGGAAUGGAGCGUCAUAGAGGGUGAGAAUCCCGUCUUUGACAUGGACUACCAGGGCUUUGUGAUGUGCUCUCAAA
rnacentral:rRNA from 1 species